rfam:Pragia fontium strain 24613, complete genome.
UUUCUGCCUUGCAUCCCCCCUAACGUGAGGUAACAGGCAAAAAAUAAGAUUUGCAGAUCGCUCAGAUAGUGCAGCAAUGGCGUAAGACACAAUGAGUAUCAGGCAAUUAGCGAGCUACGGGUAGUGGCUUGGAUGGUAAAAGGGUCCGAUUUCUACAGCUAAAUUUAGAAACGGUUUUCCUGGAUAAAAAGCGCUGCUUUCACAAAGAAAUGCAGGCUUACCGAGAUAUGCGCCCCUGUGCAGGCGACAACCGUGAGGUUGACGAUUUUGCGAUAAGACUCGGGGCCGUCGGUUAACUCUGUCCAUUAGUUCCCCUAUGCGUAGACUCAAUUGACAA